rnacentral:rRNA from 1 species
UACGUAGGUGGCAAGCGUUGUCCGGAUUUACUGGGCGUAAAGGAUGCGUAGGCGGACAUUUAAGUCAGAUGUGAAAUACCCGAGCUUAACCUGGGUGCUGCAUUUGAAACUGGGUGUCUAGAGUGCAGGAGAGGUAAGUGGAAUUCCUAGUGUAGCGGUGAAAUGCGUAGAGAUUAGGAAGAACACCAGUGGCGAAGGCGACUUACUGGACUGUAACUGACGCUGAGGCAUGAAAGCGUGGGGAGCAAACAGG